CUUGUACCUGGUGGCGAGCGGCGGACGGGUGAGUAAUGCCUAGGAAUCUGCCUGGUAGUGGGGGAUAACGCUCGGAAACGGACGCUAAUACCGCAUACGUCCUACGGGAGAAAGCAGGGGACCUUCGGGCCUUGCGCUAUCAGAUGAGCCUAGGUCGGAUUAGCUAGUUGGUGAGGUAAUGGCUCACCAAGGCGACGAUCCGUAACUGGUCUGAGAGGAUGAUCAGUCACACUGGAACUGAGACACGGUCCAGACUCCUACGGGAGGCAGCAGUGGGGAAUAUUGGACAAUGGGCGAAAGCCUGAUCCAGCCAUGCCGCGUGUGUGAAGAAGGUCUUCGGAUUGUAAAGCACUUUAAGUUGGGAGGAAGGGCAKUUACCUAAUACGUAWYUGUUUUGACGUUACCGACAGAAUAAGCACCGGCUAACUCUGUGCCAGCAGCCGCGGUAAUACAGAGGGUGCAAGCGUUAAUCGGAAUUACUGGGCGUAAAGCGCGCGUA
rnacentral:rRNA from 1 species